GAUUUACUAUAGCCUGGAAUUGGGUUCGGGCUUCCNUUGCGCAGAAUAGGUGGGAGACGAUGAAGAUCGCCUUGUGGGGUGAUUCGAGUCAUCGGUGAGAUACCACUCUAGGGAGGCUAGAAUUCUAACUUGCUCCCGUAAUCCGGGAGAAGAACAGUUUCAGGUGGGUAGUUUGACUGGGGCGGUCGCCUCCAAAAAAGUAACGGAGGCGCACAAAGGUUCCCUCAGGCUGGAUGGAAAUCAGCCUCAGAGUGUAAAGGCACAAGGGAGCUUGACUGCGAGAGAGACAACUCAAGCAGGUAGGAAACUAGGUCUUAGUGAUCCGACGGUGCUGCGUGGAAAGGCCGUCGCUCAACGGAUAAAAGUUACUCAAGGGAAACCAGGCUGAAA
rnacentral:rRNA from 1 species